rnacentral:rRNA from 1 species
UCAAUAAGCGGAGGAAAAGAAACCAACAGGGAUUGCCCUAGUAACGGCGAGUGAAGCGGCAACAGCUCAAAUUUGAAAUCUGGCUCUCUUUGGGGGUCCGAGUUGUAAUUUGCAGAGGAUGCUUUGGCAUUGGCGGCGGUCUAAGUUCCUUGGAACAGGACAUCACAGAGGGUGAGAAUCCCGUACGUGGUCGCCUGCCUUUGCCGUGUAAAGCUCCUUCGACGAGUCGAGUUGUUUGGGAAUGCAGCUCUAAAUGGGAGGUAAAUUUCUUCUAAAGCUAAAUACUGGCCAGAGACCGAUAGCGCACAAGUAGAGUGAUCGAAAGAUGAAAAGUACUUUGGAAAGAGAGUCAAAAAGCACGUGAAAUUGUUGAAAGGGAAGCGCUUGCAGCCAGACUUGCCCGCAGUUGCUCACCUAGGCUUUCGCCUGGGGCACUCUUCUGCGGGCAGGCCAGCAUCAGUUUGGGCGGUUGGAUAAAGGCCUCUGUCACGUAUCUCCCUUCGGGGUGACCUUAUAGGGGAGGCGUAAUGCAACCAGCCCGGACUGAGGUCCGCGCAUCUGCUAGGAUGCUGGCGUAAUGGCUGUAAGCGGCCCGUCUUGAAACACGGACCAAGGAGUCUAACAUCUAUGCGAGUGUUUGGGUGUCAAGCCCGAGCGCGUAAUGAAAGUGAACGGAGGUGGGAACCUUUUAGGUGCACCAUCGACCGAUCCUGAUGUCUUCGGAUGGAUUUGAGUAAGAGCAUAGCUGUUGGGACCCGAAAGAUGGUGAACUAUGCUUGAAUAGGGUGAAGCCAGAGGAAACUCUGGUGGAGGCUCGCAGCGGUUCUGACGUGCAAAUCGAUCGUCAAAUUUGGGCAUAGGGGCGAAAGACUAAUCGAACCAUCUAGUAGCUGGUUCCUG